rnacentral:lncRNA from 1 species
GAGAUUAGUAGAUGAACAAUGAGGGAGGCUGGAAAAGGAGUUUAGGGUUUAGGAGAUAAAAAGUAAAUGCAUAAUUUUUUGAUUUGAUUAGGUUGCCCUCAAUCGUCCGUGACCCUUCAUAAAUAUAGAAGUCGAAUCUUAUACAAAUCAUGUGUCAAAAUAUACUCCUAACUUGAAUUAGGCUGACCAAAUCGGUCUGACCGCCCAUCCAAACUGUUCUGACCUGUUCGUUCAGGUGUGAAUAUUUUCACAAUCAUAACUCCAUCCGAACUCCGAAUUAAACGUCGUUCUAUAUUCACAUUUGGAUCGUCUCAACAAGAUAUACACAAUGGUAAAAUCCAAUUAGAGUUUUGACAAUGUUUAUAAAACCAGCUUGCCCAGAUUAGUCAACAAACUUCUAUAGUGUCAAUUUUUGCCGUCAAC